AAGGCGGGGAGGGGGAGGGGGAGGGGGAGAGAGAAACUCAGAGCGGUUCCUGAGCCAAACCUGUCUAGUCUGGGCCCAUCUCUGGAUUAGGGGAGUUAAUGUGGCACCUCCAUCAUGAGGGAGGAGCCAUGCAGUGAUGUCUGUUGGGUGCUACUGCUGAGCUAACCCUUCCCAGACCCAGGUCAUUACUAAGUGUAGGCACUGGAAUGAGAGUGUUUAAAGGGGGGCCUCCUCCAAGUCUUACUAAGUCUAUGGUACUACUGAGGUCGAAAGAAACACCCUCUGGUUUACAGUGGCACCAUUUCCUGGUGUGCGGCCAGGAGAUGGCAGUUUACAAAACUGUCCCAUGAAGUGCUUCUCGGGUCCACCAGCCCCUCAGACUGUCAGGCUUGGGGCUGGGCUGGCUCAAGGGCAGCUACGGGGAGGAUACCUGGAAGCGCCAGUGAGGAAGGGGUGGGGCUGUGGAAGCCAGCUCCAAGCACAGAUCAGGGACAGUGCUUGGGAAGUCAGGAGUCCAUUGUGGGCCAGAACCUGGGCUCCUUCCUACCCUGUGUGCUAAGACCCCUCAGCUCUUCCCCAAUACCCUAAGCUGGUUCACAGUGGCUCACCGGACCAGUGUGUGCUUCUGUCAAGAGUGAGUGAGCCCUUUCCCAGUGACCAAAGGAAAUGGCUCUGCUCCUCCAGAGGCUCCAACUGCCAUAGAACCUUCGGAGUGUCCACAAGAUACCUGGAACUUCUAGAACGUUCUCCCAGCUACUUAGGUAGAGGGUCAGGUGACUGGUGCUGCCCACUGUUCAGCGACGGGGAAGUCUGGGCUCUGAGGCUGCAGACAGCAGAAGAGAGGUGUAUUUCAUCUCACCAAUGUGGAGGCUGGACUCUCAGCCUGACAUCUGAAUCCGCCCGGGACCUUCUUACUGCUCCGUAACACUGUGAUACUGGGGACCCAUUCCAACACAUGAAAUUGAGACCAAUCCCAACACAUUAAAUUUUAUUUAAUUAAAA